CAUGGUCCUGCUGCUAUGUCUCAGAUGAAGAUAGAAGUUGAAAGCUUAGGGCAUGAAUUCACAGACCCUCAGGCACAUAGGAACAUGUCUCAAAAUCACAAAUUCACAAUACACACUUCGCAGAGGCCGAUAUUUCUGCUGAACAUCUCGCUUCCCGUAACAAUGAACGCCUGCUUAAGUCUGGUAUUAGAUUGUUUCCUUGUUUAUUUCAUCUUUCUAAACGAAUACUGUUCUUGGUUCAGAU